AAGCAUGAAACUUAAUUUAAAGAUACUAGGUUUUCUGCUUAAUUUUGUUCCUAUAACAAUGCUUA
rnacentral:tRNA from 1 species